GGGGGAGCUCGGGGCGCAUCCAGUGCCACCCCCUGCCCGGGCAGGGACACCUCCCGCUGCGCCAGGGUGCCCCAAAACCCGUCCAACCCGGCCGAAACGCUUCCCGGGGAGCCACCACACCUUCUCUGAGCGGGACGGGUGAAGUGGUUGUUUCCAGCUCAGCCGUGGAUGUACCAGCAAGUUCCAGCUUCUUCCUGGGAGCUAUGGCAACAGCAGACGUCUGAACAUCAGGU